CCUACGGGGGGCUGCAGUGGGGAAUAUUGGACAAUGGGGGCAACCCUGAUCCAGCCAUGCCGCGUGUGUGAAGAAGGCCCUCGGGUUGUAAAGCACUUUCAGUGAGGAAGAACGCCUGGUGGUUAAUACCCAUCAGGAAAGACAUCACUCACAGAAGAAGCACCGGCUAACUCCGUGCCAGCAGCCGCGGUAAUACGGAGGGUGCGAGCGUUAAUCGGAAUUACUGGGCGUAAAGCGCGCGUAGGUGGCUUGAUAAGCCGGUUGUGAAAGCCCCGGGCUCAACCUGGGAACGGCAUCCGGAACUGUCAAGCUAGAGUGCAGGAGAGGAAGGUAGAAUUCCCGGUGUAGCGGUGAAAUGCGUAGAGAUAGGGAGGAAUACCAGUGGCGAAGGCGGCCUUCUGGACUGACACUGACACUGAGGUGCGAAAGCGUGGGUAGCAAACAGGAUUAGAUACCCUUGUAGUC
rnacentral:rRNA from 1 species